AACCUCCGCAAUGUGAGAAAUCGCGACGGGGGGAUCCCAAGUGCCAUUCUUAACGGGAUGGCUUUUCAUUAGUGUAAAGAGCUUUUGGAAUAAGAGCUGGGCAAGACCGGUGCCAGCCGCCGCGGUAACACCGGCAGCUCUAGUGGUAACAAUUUUUAUUGGGCCUAAAGCGUCCGUAGCCGGUUUAAUAAGUCUCUGGUGAAAUCCUGCAGCUUAACUGUGGGAAUUGCUGGAGAUACUAUUAGACUUGAGACCGGGAGAGGUUAGAGGUACUCCCAGGGUAGAGGUGAAAUUCUGUAAUCCUGGGAGGACCGCCUGUUGCGAAGACGUCUAACUGGAACGGUUCUGACGGUGAGGGACGAAAGUUAGGGGCGCGAACCGGAUUAGAUACCCGGGUAGUCCUAACUGUAAACGAUGCGGACUUGGUGUUGGGGUGGCUUUGAGCUGCUUCAGUGCCGAAGGGAAGCUGUUAAGUCCGCCGCCUGGGAGUACGGUCGCAAGACUGAAACUUAAAGGAAUU
rnacentral:rRNA from 1 species